CUAUGCAGUGGAACAGGUGAAUGAGCUAUUGGCGGGAAUCUGCUGCGUUUCGCAUCAUAACGAAGAGACCUGACGGUGCCUGUAUUGUACGUGGCAUGACAACAGAUGGUCUGACGAUAGAGUCUGUCACAGCCAGGAGGAUCUGUAAAACACACCGAGGGUCUGCAACGCUUGGGGCGAGUCCAUUCCGCAGAGCGGUCAGUCGUGUAGCAGUGUAGCCGUCAUUGCAGAAAUGUAAGACGAUAUGUACUCAAUAUUUAGAUCAGGACGGACAAUUACAACGUGUUUAUGUCAGUCUAGUUCCUCCAUGUGGCUCUCAAUCACUUCUUGAUCACAAGAAGGUCGACUUGGACUGGAACCAUUCACAGAGGAACACUAUUGCGCACCCCUAAGGAUGUUGAAAGGAAACACCGAUGUCGAAUCACAUAGCAAUGCCAAUAAAUGGCAUGAAGUAAACAUAAUGGAACUUUCUAUUGAUUUCGGAAAGCAACAUCAAUAGACUGGCUUGUUCUAUGUGUCGUUUUCCAACAUGUUUUUCUAUCUCUACAUUUCCGAUUGUUUCAAAACCUUACGAUAGAAUUUCAGGUUCUGUUAGCAUACAGCAUGAUUGAUUGCGUCAACACAAAUAGGAUUACAAUUCGCCUAGAAAACGUCAAGACAUGCCUAGGUGAUCAAAUCAACAAUAACGUUAUCAAAAAGAUAUUUCUGAUUCUUGCGACUGUCAUCCAGUAACAAAAACAGCUUAAUUAAACUAUUUGAAUAAUUUUGUACGACAAGCUCUUAAGCAUUAGGUACGGUAAAGGCGACAGCUAUAACAAAUGACAACGUCAUCAGAGCAUUGACGUACGUCGGUGAAACAACGCCAAUCGAGGGGACAAAUCAGGGAGACGGAAAACAUUUAAUUGAUAAACUUACCAACAAAAAAAACAUAUGCAUGGAAAACAUGACUAGUGAGUUUGCCCCUUCCAUCACUGAAGAGUCCUGAAAGUGAUGCAACAGCUGUCAGCUGCAGGUUAAUUUAUUAAUAAUGAAUCUUAAUCUAAUUUCAUGUUUAAAAGUAAUUUUACAAACUUUCAAUUUUACAAAUACAAGCGCAAAAUAUUCA